AGACUUCAGUUAAUAAUGGCUGGAAGUCGAGCGGAUCAAAAUUCUUAUAGGUCACGUCGUAUGCUCCUCCUCGGAUCCUAAUGUCCAAGAGCCUCAAUUUUGUGGUCCAAUUUGUGGGCGAAAAAAAAAAAAUCGCAGCCAAGUGAUUGACCAAAGUCCUUCAUUCACUCUUGUUUCUAGACAUGAUAUGGGCCAAUGAAUUGGUGAGGUUAGAUGGAGGACACCUUCCUGCGUGAAGCAACCUAGGCUUGAUGGGUUCAUUUGGAGAGGUAUACUGGCACAGCUAGUAAAGAAUCAUGAAAGCCAAAUCUUAAUUUCAGAGUUUCUUAUAUCACAUCGGCUUCUUCCCUUCUCCGUUUAGGCCUAGGAUUGGAAUUCUUGAAUGGUUGUUCACUGUUGCCUCUGUUUCGAGCUUCAUGUGGUUGUCUAGCUAGAAAAUGUGCAUAAAAAUAGGAGGGUUUGAUAUAACGUAGAUUCAAUCACAAAAUAUUACGACCUCAAAGAUGAAAUGAGCAUGAUCAGGUCCCAAAAAACAGCGAAUCUGUAAGUAUAAAUACUAGCAGCAUCUCUAAAAGCAUCAAAGGAGAGCACUCUCCCACAAAUUUUGCCCUUCAUGGAGCACAGUAAUCAGCGGAGAAGCUCAUGCCGUGGUCCCCACAGUAAGAAGUGGGCGAAGUAUCGAGGGAGUCGAGACAACUGCAGUUGCAGUCUGUUGUUGGACUCGAUGUGGCUAGCCUGCUGAUCAUCGCUGUAUGACAUGGUGGCCAAGAUUGGAUGUAGCUUAUGUGCUCCAUGGAUAUCAUACCAUGUGGGUGUAUCAUACAAGUGAGUCUUUCCGGUUUAAAUAUAUCAUAAUUAAAACAUUGAUAGAUCCGGAAUGUUAUUUAAAAGUAUAUCUAAUGGCGAUGAAGAGGACACUGUUGGAGCAAUGUCUCCGCAGCUGCGACAAUUGUCUACUGGAACUUCGCACCUCGUCCUUUAUUUGAUUGCUAUUUUAUGUUUAGCCUUACAUUUACUCCUUAUAUGUAUCUGUCCUGUGCAUGGGCAUACUAGUUUCUGUACAUAGUUGUUCCUACUUUGUACACUUGUAUGAACAGGAUCAGAGAUUACGUAUCAAAGAGAAUCAAAGUCAAGGACUGCCUAUAAAACUUUCAAUCGAUAGGAUUAAACAAAAGAAGACAGUUAAACCGAGGGACAUACAUCAAUUACACUUCAUCAAAUUUUCAGCUCCUUUUUCCUUUCUUUUUUCUUAAUUUUCAUUUAGGAAAAGUAUGCAAGCUCAUUGAAUCGUUCCAUGGAUGCCAUUCUUUCACAGGCCACGGCCUGUACCAGAUGGCCGUAUAGCUGAAUAAGUGAAUACCAUCCCGCUUUCAGUUGUUCGGUCACCACAUACCUCAAAGAAACAUGACAUCUGGGCCAGCUAAUGAUCUUUAGUUUGGAGUUAACAACUCCUCUACAACCCUGGAAAUGGCAACAUCAAGUUCAAGCAAUUCCAGCCAUGACAAUUUAUUAAAAGGGAGACAACAAAUAAGAAGAGCUAUGGUUGAGAUGGAUCUUUUAUAGCAAAUUAUUUGUUCGUGGGGAGGAAAUAAUAACAAUGCUAACCAUGUUUUUAUAUAUAUAAAAAAAAAUCAAGAGCUAAAGUGCAAGAGCUAGGAAUAUGAAAAUGCUUCAUGUAUUGUUUUGUAACCAUUGUAGUCACAUAAUCAUGCUAUUAGCCUUAAUGAAUGAAAUUAGUUAUCCUAUCA